AUGAAUAUUUGUGUUGUUAGCUUGUUUGCAGAGAUGUUUCAAGCGAUUACGCAUUAUGGUGUUACGGGGCGCGCAGUGCAGCAGCAGGCAGUCCGCGUAAGUACCGUGAAUCCGCGUGAGUUUACGCAGGAUAUUCAUCGCACAGUGGAUGAUCGCCCGUAUGGGGGAGGCCCAGGGAUGUUGAUGAAGGUGCAGCCGUUGCGUGAUGCAAUCGUUGCUGCGCGUAAAAAAACAUCCGCACAGGCUCGAGUGAUUUAUUUGUCUCCGCAAGGAGCACCGUUGACCCAGAGUAAAGUACUUGAACUUGCUAAACGGCCUGAGUUGAUUUUAUUGGCUGGGCGCUAUGAAGGCAUUGAUGAGCGUGUGAUUGAAGCUAAUGUUGAUGAAGAGAUCUCGCUGGGGGAUUAUGUUCUUAGCGGUGGUGAACUUCCUGCAAUGGUUUUAAUGGAUGCGAUUAUUCGAGUUCUACCUGGUGUUCUAGGAGAUGCAGAGUCUUUUCAACAAGAUUCAUUUAUGGCGGGAUUACUAGAUUAUCCGCACUAUACUCGACCUGAAUUGAUUGAUGGUCGUCAAGUACCCAAGGUAUUGAUGAGUGGCCAUCAUGAAAAGAUUGAACGUUGGCGCGAACAGCAAGCAUUGGGACGAACGUACUUAAGGCGUCCUGACUUAUUUAAGCGUUUAGCGCUGACGGCGCAGCAACAGAUAUUGCUGGAUGAGUAUUUGUCUAAAGCAGCCGGGUGCGGCUCUGCUAGUGAUCUUGAUAAAGUAAGUAAUUCUUAAUAACAGAGAGGUUCGC
rnacentral:misc_RNA from 1 species